CAAGAUCGUACCAUUGCACUCCAGCCUAGGUGACAGAGGGAGACUCCAUCUCAAAAUAAAUAAAUAAAUAAAUAAAUAAAUAAAUAAAGAAUAAUGAGAGUCAUCCUAACCUAGGGGCAAAUUUAACAUGGGCCUUAUUCACAGAAUGAAGAACAAGCCAAGGAGUUAGAUGAAUAGACUAGUCAGGGGAGUUACCAGGAAAAAUGUCACUGGAAGUGUUGCAAAUAGAAUACUAGGACCUGUGUUAUGAGAUCUCAUCUAUCCCAUGGUUUCUAGGCAGGUGUAUAUGCUGAUAAUUCCCAAACCUGUAUUUCCAACCUCAUCUCUCUCCUAAACUCCAGACCUAUAAAUCCAACUGCCUUUUUAUGGAAGAGUUCUUGAAUAUUUCAAAGAUCUUUCACAUUCAAUGUAUAUCCAACAGACUUAAUUAUCUUUCCCUUCACUAAUUCUAGUUGUUAUACAGUGAAUGAGACCACCAUCCACCCAAUAGCCACAUCUAGAAAACUGGAUGUCAUGGCUGGGCGUGGUGGCUCAUGCCUGUAAUCCC
rnacentral:lncRNA from 1 species